AUAAUAUAUAGCAGAUGAUAGAGAACUAGACAGAUAGAUGAUAGAUAAAUAGGUAAGCAGAGGCAUCUGGCCAAUCUUGUCAGCCUGCCUAGGGCUGCCUGGCAUCUCACCUCUCUCCUCUCACUUCGUCUUUCAGAAACUCCUCUUGCUCGCCUUACACUAAGCACACUCCCCACUGGAGGGCUCACUCUGAGCACUGCAGGGUAUAGCCCUGCUUCUAACGAUAAGAUGAGGAAGGCUUCUGCAGGGGCGUGCUGUGCCAGAUGGAGCACUUGACACUGUGCCUCUAACUUUCCGUCACCAGCAGAAUUCAGCCUCAAAGGGUGUCAUAAAAUUAUAGUUAUUCAGGAGCACAAAUCCACAACUCUAUGAAGUUAAGGUGAAGCUAACGUUGACACUAGCUCCCUGCUGCUCCCAGCCUUCAGAAAGCACAAGGCUGGCACUUGGUGUGGAUCCUCCAGGAGAGAUUUCCCCAGGAGCUCGCAAGCUCCCUCUGCUGGACCUCGGCCUGGUGAAGCCUGCUCGGUCCCUAUCCAAGUCCUGAGACUCCAACUCCGCAAGGAAUCAUUGCUGGUGAGGUUAGGACCUUGAAACCCACAGUCAGGACCCACUGGUUAACUGACAUGUAUGUUUCACUUUCACCCUCUAAACAUUAAUGACUACAAUUACACAAUGACGAACACAACUGAAAUAAGAUUCCAAAAUACCUAGAUCUUCUCUUAUUGAAAAUAAACAGCUCUGAAAAAAAUCACAACUUUCAGAC
rnacentral:lncRNA from 1 species